rnacentral:tRNA from 1 species
GGGUAAGUACUCAAGUGGUGAAGAGGCGUCCCUGCUAAGGAUGUAGGCGGUUAUGCCGCGCGGAGGUUCGAAUCCUCUCUUACCCGCCA